rnacentral:rRNA from 1 species
ACGAGCGCAACCCUGCUGCCAGUUGCCAACGGGUGAAGCCGGGCACUCUGCGGGACUGCCAUCGACAAGAUGGAGGAAGGUGGGGAUGACGUCAAGUCAUCAUGGCCCUUAUGUCCAGGGCGACACACGUGCUACAAUGGUCGGUACAAAGGGUUGCCAAGCCGCGAGGUGGAGCUAAUCCCAUAAAACCGAUCGUAGUCCGGAUCGCAGUCUGCAACUCGACUGCGUGAAGUCGGAAUCACUAGUAAUCGUGAAUCAGAAUGUCACGGUGAAUACGUUCCCGGGCCUU